UGUAAACAUAAAUUUUUAAAUAUCUUUAAAAAGGUUUAAAAGUCUUAAAUCAUAUGUACCAGUAUAUAUUCCUUCAGUUCCUUAGAAUUAUUCAUUUCAUAACAUAAUUAAAGUCAUCCUUUUAAACUAAUAAGAUCAGUUUUAGUCCAUAAAAACCUAAUCAUUGGAACAAAAACUAAACAGGGUAAUAUUUUUUUUCAUAUUCACCGAAUAAUCCUCAGCAAUUGUUUUCUUUUUUGUCAAUAGCCUCCACUUUCAUCAAAUUUAAUUUUUUGAUAAAUUUAUAUUUAAAUUGCUCACUAUUUUUUUAGCAUCUUUGUAUUCCAAUCGUCUGGUUGCGUUUAUGCUUCAAAGGUUGGAAAGUGGAAAUGAAACUUAUAAAAUUGGAGCCCUUACAGACAUUUGAUCAACUCAUCGGGAGUUUACCGGUGAUGCAGAUCAUGAUAAGCUAAAGGCAACUAUUAUACGGUUAUGUAACUACAAAGGGUUCCAUUCCAAUACUGCUUACAAGAAUAGAAACACCAAUUCUAAGAAGCGUUUCUACCAAUCUUCCAAAGUGCCAAAUUUCAUUGAUGCUGUCAGAAACAAAUUGCGUUAUAUUCAUUGUCCGCACACUAGAAAAGGGACUUUGAGAAUCUUCCAGAAUUCAGCUACUCAUCACUUGCCUGCAGUUUUCAUUGAUGCUGUCAGAAACAAAUUGUGUUAUAUUCAUUGUCCUCACACUAGAAAAAGGAGAAUCUUCCAGAAUUUAGCUACUCAUCAUUUGCCUGCAGUUUUCAUUGAUGCUGUCAGAAAAAAAUUGUGUAAUAUUCAUUGUCCUCACACUAGAAAAGGGAGAAUCUUCCAGGGGAGAAUUCUUUAAUUCACGAAAAAAAAAUUUGGUGUUAUCAAACUUUAAUGAAGUUUUAUGCAAGGUUAUUAAAUAGAAAUUAAUAGAAAUCUUUUCCAUCAAGAUAACGUUAAUAAAGCGCCGUAAUAAAAAGUUUUGACAGUGUAAGGUGGUUUAACAAAAAGCGAAAACAUUUUCUGCCAGUUACUAAUCGACCGCAGCAGUCUUUUUAAAAACGUCUGUUCUCAGUUACACCAAUCAUCUAUGAUCAAAGUCUUUGUCGGGAAACGUUGUAUUAUACACGAUCAGUAAGACUUAUUUUAUUCGAUAUGUGUUUUAAACUUAGUAGCUUGAUAAUUAUAAAAAAAAAUUAUAGAGCGGCAAUACGCAGUUUAAAAUGGCAAAUCUUUGUAAAUUUGAGUUUUGCUUCAUAGUUUAAAAAUAUUUUAUACCUCUAAAACAUCUCAAAUACCCCUUUUUUUUUAAAGCAUACAAUACUCAUAGUACCUAAUGGUUGCAUUAAUAUUUAAACGAUCGCUAACGUAAAACCUUCUUUCCUACCACAAUCUGUUCCAUGAUUAAUAAUAUGACCAAUGCUAAUUGAAUGAAUGGCGUAAAUUCUCAACAUUUAUUUCCCUGUCCAUGUGUUGAACAAGUAUUUAGAUUACUCGUGAUAAGACUGGUAUGUCUAACUACAUUAAUCUUAUGCCGGAAUUUGAGUGUACAUUCAUCCCUCCAACGUUUUUUUUUUUUUAAGGAAAGAUACUAUUUUAACAUAUUUUUUCAAAAAAACGAAGUAUCAAUUUGUAGUGGGUAAAUUUUGGAUAUUUUUUGAUGGCUUCUCAUUCGUAAACGUGUGUAUCGAUGGAGGUAUAAGGAAAAUUUUAAAAAAAUGUGAUUAUUUUUACAAGACUUUGAAAGUUUUGUAAAUCUGCUUUUUACUUUAAAAAGCAAACUCUUUAAAGAAUUUUCAUUUUAAUUCAGAUGCUUUAUAUGAAUCUUCGCCCCGAGUAAUUCUUUUUAGAUAAAAAAUAAUUGGAAAAUAAUUAUUUUUUGUUAGGGUUAGAUAGGGUUUUAACUGUAUCCUCAUAACGUCCUCUUAAUACAAUGUAUGAUGCAGCAGAGUAUAGAAAUACCGACAAAGCAUGUCAGCGUUGCCGACAUGUAUAUCAAAACUCUAUUUUAAAAUUUGAGAAGUAUUGUCACUCAAUAUUUAGAACUCUAGUUUCAUUUCUUGUUUGUUUAAUAUAUUAAAAUGUUGCAAAAGUAAAAUCACCUAUGCAAAGAUUUAUUAUUAUCUAAAUGUUUUUUUUCUUCAAUUUUUUUAAAAAUAG
rnacentral:lncRNA from 1 species